rnacentral:sRNA from 1 species
GUCCGGAAGAAGUGGGUGGGAACAGGAACCAGGGAUGUCGUCAGAAGAAUCAUCAUAACCCUCUGCAUGGCAUUCUAGGCACAGCAAGGCAACCUUGGAACACUCUGCUUCUUGCCAUCAAAGAGAGAUUAUUUACGAUGGAUUUAUUUGUGGUGUAUCUCACUCAAUUCUGGAUCACUAUCACGCUCCAGGUAUUCCGUACAAGUCGGAAAGAAAACCGGCUCCGAUUAUUCCCUAACGAGGAAGUGUUUUAUCUUUUCUUUUCUUUUCUUUUUUCUUAAGGUUCGUUUCUUUCUUUUUUUCUUUGGCAUAUGUCGAUCGAUGGAGGCUGAAGCCUGAAAGGUUGAUUGAAUCGAGCGCAGAUCCUUUUAUGUAUUCAUUCUCUCUCUCGUCUGAUAUUAAAUCUCACGAUAGCGCAA